rnacentral:lncRNA from 1 species
UUAUCAAUGAGAAAUAAAGAUUCCCUUGGAAUUCAUGAAACAUACAAAAAAAAUUAAAAUCAUAAUUUCAUUAUCCCAUUUAUUGUUUACACACUUCAUGAUUCUAUUUUAUAUUUUUUUGUCAUGGUCAAUAUAGGCAAACUUUGUCACAAAAACACACAAGUAAUAUAACAGCCAACGUUUUAGCUCAACACUAAACGAAAGAAAUAUGUAUGUGUCUCUUUUACGU